GUAUAAGUUUUAAAUUAGAGGGCACGCUUUUUUAGGGCGAGACCGUUCAUUUAUGACAUUCGGUAGACUUUGUGGGGUAUGUGAUAAAAAUUACAUAGGCCGAUCUCUCGGCCUACGAUGGGUGCACGGGUGUGUAUGAAUGAAUAAAAGAGGAGCGUGCACGGUUUGACCCAGCGACAGCUCCCUUUUUAUAUUUAAUUCAUUAAUGAUCCUUCCGCAGGUUCACCUACGGAAA
rnacentral:misc_RNA from 1 species